UACGUAGGGAGCAAGCGUUGUUCGGAUUUACUGGGCGUAAAGGGCGCGUAGGCGGUCUGUUAUGUCGGAUGUGAAAGCCCUUGGCUCAACUGAGGAAGUGCAUCCGAAACUGGCAGGCUAGAGUACGAAAGAGGAUCGCGGAAUUCCCGGUGUAGAGGUGAAAUUCGUAGAUAUCUGGAGGAACACCGGUGGCGAAGGCGACAUCCUGGACCAAUACUGACGCUGAGGAGCGAAAGCCAGGGGAGCAAACGGG
rnacentral:rRNA from 1 species